rnacentral:rRNA from 1 species
CAUGCCAGUCAGAGCACUCAUUAAGACUGCAAUACUUGAAUAAUGCUUAUCAAAAUGUUCAUGGUAAAACCAACGAUCUUCAUAGUCAACAUCACACAACGCAACAAUAACAACAACAUCAGCCAUCAAUUUAUAGCUGGUCACAUCUCUGAAGACUUCCAAAACUAGGGUGGUGGAUUCCCAUGGUGGUGACGAGGAAUCAGGGUUCGAUUCCGAAGAGGGAGCCUCAGAAAUGGCUACCACAUUCAAGUUAAACGAAGGCAG